rnacentral:lncRNA from 1 species
ACAAGACAUGUGAGGGUCCGGGUUGUACUUGUAUAGUAUAGACACAUGAAAUAUAUUAUGAACUCUGGAUAGUUCUAGAGAUAAUGCUAAUCUGUAGGCGGACAUACCAAUCCUGUCUAAGAUCUCAAAUGGUCUGAUGAAUCGGAGAUUCAACUUUUCCCUCUUUCUAAACAUGCUAAUACCCUUAAAUGGGGUGACCUUAAGGAACACUCAAUUGCCCUUCUCGAAUUCUAAAUCUCACCUUCGGAUGUCUGCAUAACUUUUCUGUCUACUCUUGGUUGUCU